rnacentral:tRNA from 1 species
GCGCCUGUAGCUCAGCUGGAUAGAGUAGCGGCUUCCGAAGCCGUUGGUCGGGGGUUCGAAUCCCUCCAGGCGCG